CUCCGGACUCCAGAACUUUCCAAGCGGGGGAAACUUGGCGGCGGAUUGCUGUCACGUCUAAUGUGGCUGCUGCCUCGUGUCACAUCUGAAACUCAUCUGUACCUCACUUAGAAAGUUUGAAUCUUCAGACAAACUUCUGGGAGGACUCGGUCCCUGCCUCGCAGCAGAUGUUCCCUGUCACUCAGUAGCAUAUGGCUACCCAUUCUCCCCAGAAAUCUCACCAGUG
rnacentral:lncRNA from 1 species